AACGAACGCUGGCGGCAGGCUUAACACAUGCAAGUCGAACGCCCCGCAAGGGGUGUGGCAGACGGGUGAGUAACGCGUGGGAAUCUACCGUACCCUACGGAACAACAGUUGGAAACGACUGCUAAUACCGUAUACGCCCUACGGGGGAAAGAUUUAUCGGGGUAUGAUGAGCCCGCGUUGGAUUAGCUAGUUGGUGGGGUAAAGGCCUACCAAGGCGACGAUCCAUAGCUGGUCUGAGAGGAUGAUCAGCCACAUUGGGACUGAGACACGGCUCAAACUCCUACGGGAGGCAGCAGUGGGGAAUAUUGGACAAUGGGCGCAAGCCUGAUCCAGCCAUGCCGCGUGAGUGAUGAAGGUCUUAGGAUUGUAAAGCUCUUUCACCGAUGAAGAUUAUGACGGUAGUCGGAGAAGAAGCCCCGGCUAACUUCGUGCCAGCAGCCGCGGUAA
rnacentral:rRNA from 1 species